CGCCGCGGUAAUUCCAGCUCCAAUAGCGUAUAUUAAAGUUGUUGUAGUUAAAAAGCUCGUAGUUGAAUUUCGGGGUUAGUAGGUUGGUCAUGCCUCUGGUAUGUACUGGUCUCACUGAUUCCUCCUUCCUGAUGAACCUUAAUGCCAUUAAUUUGGUGUUUUGGGGAAUUUGGACUGUUACUUUGAAAAAAUUAGAGUGUUUAAAGCAAGCUAACGCUUGAAUACAUUAGCAUGGAAUAAUGAAAUAGGACGUUCGAUCCUAUUUUGUUGGUUUCUAGGAUUGACGUAAUGAUUAAUAGGGAUAGUUGGGGGCAUUAGUAUUCAAUUGUCAGAGGUGAAAUUCUUGGAUUUAUUGAAGACUAACUACUGCGAAAGCAUUUGCCAAGGAUGUUUUCAUUAAUCAAGAACGAAAGUUAGGGGAUCGAAGACGAUCAGAUACCGUCGUAGUCUUAACCAUAAACUAUGCCGACUAGGGAUCGGAUGAUGUUAAUUUUUUAAUGACUCAUUCGGCGCCUUACG
rnacentral:misc_RNA from 1 species